AACAGUGACACUGCUGCUUUAGUGUUGCAGCACACUUAGGGUGGCAGUACACAUCGGCAGUGCAAGCAAUUCAUGUAGCUGGCAAGAAGCGGGCAUGGGUUACAAGGGGAAAUGAAGCUAUGCUGUAAGCAUUCCCACUCCAAAGUGCACUGAGCAAUGAUUCUAGCAGAACAUAAGAUUCUUCCAUAUUGGCAUGGUCCUCCAUGUGCUUCCCGGACACUGUGGAGUUCUAUUUUUCAUGGCAGACAUUACAGAUUCAAUUCUAGGAGAGAGGGGAAAAAAUGGACCAAGGCAGCAGGAGCGGAGGGUGUUGUCUUGUUUCUGAGGUGUGUCUGCAGAUGGUGGAUGUUUGUAAGGCUAUCUGACUGAGGUUAGUUUCCUCAGGGGAAGUCUCUGCGCCUGUUUUUCAGUGGUCAGGAACAAUGCGAGGAUCUUUUCAAGACAUUGCAACUUGGAAGCCGACAUUCCAAGUUUUGAAGACUGUCCUCCUUAAACUGGGCUAAAUACAAGUAGCACCAACCAGGAACAAGAUGGAUGUUGGGUAGGGCUUUUUUAUCUAUUCAAUACUAAAAAUUGCCCACCCAAGGGAUUCAUGCAUUGCAUUU